GACGAACCGAGCGAACGUUAUUCGGAAUCACUGGGCUUAAAGGGUGCGUAGGCGGUGUAGUAAGUCGGGUGUGAAAUCCCCCAGCUUAACUGAGGAAUUGCGCCCGAAACUGCUGCGCUCGAGGGAGACAGAGGUGAGCGGAACUGAUGGUGGAGCGGUGAAAUGCGUUGAUAUCAUCAGGAACACCGGUGGCGAAAGCGGCUCACUGGGUCUCUUCUGACGCUCAGGCACGAAAGCUAGGGGAGCAAACGGG
rnacentral:rRNA from 1 species